rnacentral:lncRNA from 1 species
GCGCCUGCGCUCGUCCUUUCCGGCUGGCUUCUCCCGCCGCCGAUUCUUCGGAUACCGCGGGAUCAGGCUCCUGCCUUCUUUCCUUGGGACCACCCUUCCCUCUUCCUAGCCAGGCACGCACGCAUAAGGAGGGGCGGGCGCAAGACAGAGAUCGAGCACCCCCACCACGCAUGGCUCCGCUUCCACCGUCGACCACCACCACCACCACGUACUACUCCCACCCGAGGGGCCUCCGCCGGAGACAGGACGAGAGGGCUGGAGGAGC